GCGCCGGUGGUGUAAUGGCGAAAAGCAUCCCGGCCGGAUAGCAGGAGGUGAGGGUUCGAGUCCCGCCUGGCGCG
rnacentral:tRNA from 1 species